CACGUAGGGGGCAAGCGUUGUCCGGAUUUAUUGGGCGUAAAGGGCGCGUAGGCGGUUCGUUAAGUCCUGUGUGAAAUCCCCCGGCUCAACUGGGGAACUGCACAGGAAACUAGCGGGCUUGAGUUCGGGAGAGGGAAGCGGAAUUCCGGGUGUAGCGGUGAAGUGCGUAGAUAUCCGGAGGAACACCGGUGGCGAAGGCGGCUUCCUGGACCGACACUGACGCUGAGGCGCGAAAGCUAGGGGAGCAAACGGG
rnacentral:rRNA from 1 species